UGCUGGGGCAGGCACUUAGUUACCCAAGCGCUGGGCUGUUUCUUCCUCUCGGUGUCUGACUUAGAUGACUCUUGUUCAUCGAAAAGGUUGUGCUGUGUAUAAAGACACAUGAAAUGCCACCACCGUUGCCUGCUUCCCACCCACCACCAGCCUUUGGGCUUAGGGACAGUAGGCAUUAUUACGGCUGCUUGCCAGUGUUCCCUUCAUCAGAUCUCUUGAUGUGCUAUGCAGCAACAGAGCUCAGUGGAUGCUAAGGGGUUGCAUUUUAUCAUCUGGGUUCUGAUAUAUUUCCAUUAUUUUUCAUAGUUUGGUAGAGGAAAAAAAAGCUUUCAUUUUUACUUGUAGAUUUCAAGUUCUCACCACCGAGGAAUCCCCAUCAUCUCCUGUUUGACUGCCUAGCUUGCUGCAAAAAAUCUGCCUGGAGGUGGUUCAUUCCUCCCUUGUGAUUAGGCUCAGGCUGUCCCCAUACCACCUGUCUUAAUCUGUGUGACUUAGGAACAUGUAGAGCCAUAACUACUCAUAGUUACAAUGAAAAGUUCAACUUAGGGUCAGACCUACUACAUUCUGAGAUGUGUAUCACAUGAUAUAACUCAUGUAAAUAUGCUGAAAUGUUCAACACUUAUUCUCUUAUUCAUUUAUUAGUUUGUGUGUGUGUGUGUGUGUGCGCGUGCGCGUGUGCGCACACACGUGCUGGAUGAGAUUCAGGUUGUCAGGCUUGGUGACAGGUGACUUUAUCUACUUAGCCAUUUAAGUGGCCCUCUUUCACACAUCUAUUUUUGCAAGCAUUUUUAUGUUCUUGUUUGAAUCCUUUGGUUAUUGAUUGAACUAUAUGCCGAAGGUUACACAUUAAGAAAUACAACAGAGCCAGAACUAUAAUCUGACCUUAAGUGUUAGUUUCCUUUUUCCC
rnacentral:lncRNA from 1 species